ensembl:snoRNA SNORD30 Small nucleolar RNA SNORD30
GAACAUGAUGAAUAUUCUCUUUGGAAUCUCGUUCGUCUGAACUCCUGUUGAGAAAAGGAAUAGCUGACUUCA